UUUUCCCAGUCCUGCCAGCUGGGAGUUAAGCUGACUAACGUCGUGAAAGCCUGGCCCAUUUCGUUCACAGCAGGAAGGAGUUAACACAGGGAAGGAACUCCAACUGUACUUUUGUCGCUCGCUUGCAUUUUAUCUCGGGACUGAGAGACAUUGAAAAAGUGGGUGACGGAUCAUACUUGCCAGCCGGCUAAUAUCAUAAUUAGCGAAGUUGCUACUAUGUCUGCAAAGUUUAAUCGAAAAAUUUAUCAGUAAUAUGAUGACAUCGUCACAGAGAUCACAAGGGACACAGAGUCGACUUUUGCUCAAGAUGGAAUGAAACUGUGUGGACAAGAUGAGAAAUUCCGAACCUGCUCGGCCAAAGGUUAUGAUUCACAUCACCCACCAGGGAGGAUCAUCUCUCCUGAAAACUUUCAAAUUUGAUUUUGAGAAUUAUUCAGAAAAAAGUUAAGCCAUGAUUUUCCCAGCGAAGGAAAUAAUAUGCUCUGGAGGCUCUUCUGAUUCAUGGAAAAUGGACUAGGAUAACAUUUGGGUUCUCAUACUACCCAAAUCUUCUAGAGGACAGCCAGGAGGCUAAUAAUGAAGGGGCCGGGGAAGGAGGCCAGUGGUACAAGGGUUAUCUCACAACCUCAGAUGCUGGAUAAGUCGCAGGAUGCAGAAUCACUUCUGGAUGACAUUCAGAAAGGCUGGAGUGAUCAUUUGGAAGAGAAAAGCCUGCCUAUUCUUUCCAAGAUAUUAGUCUAAAACAGCACCUUGGGAUCUAAGCAACACCUUUGAGAAGGAAAAGACUUCUUCAGGAAUGUCUUGUUGCACCUCUUUUCCGUAUGGGGCUUAAGUGCCUAGAGUGGACCAAUAGUUUAAUUUUGUUUAAACUAUUGAAAUGUUUAAUGUUGACUCUUGACAUAUCUGCAUUUUUACUAUUUCUGUGUACUUGUUUUUGCUUGAACUGUUUUAAUAUUGACUAUUGACCUAUUCUCAUUUUUACCGGUUUUCUGUACUUGUUUG